UCGAUUUGGAGUUUGUUGCCCUGAGUGAUGGGCUCCGAAGCUAACGCGAUAAAUCGACCGCCUGGGGAGUACGGCCGCAAGGUUAAAACUCAAAUGAAUUGACGGGGGCCCGCACAAGCGGUGGAGCAUGUGGUUUAAUUCGAUGCAACGCGAAGAACCUUACCUGGUCUUGACAUCCACAGAAUCUUGCAGAGAUGCGAGAGUGCCUUCGGGAACUGUGAGACAGGUGCUGCAUGGCUGUCGUCAGCUCGUGUUGUGAAAUGUUGGGUUAAGUCCCGCAACGAGCGCAACCCUUAUCCUUUGUUGCCAGCGAUUAGGUCGGGAACUCAAGGGAGACUGCCGUUGAUAAAGCGGAGGAAGGUGGGGACGACGUCAAGUCAUCAUGGCCCUUACGACCAGGGCUACACACGUGCUACAAUGGCGUAUACAAAGGGAGGCGACCUCGCGAGAGCAAGCGGACCUCAUAAAGUACGUCUAAGUCCGGAUUGGAGUCUGCAACUCGACUCCAUGAAGUCGGGAUCGCUAGUAAUCGUGAAUCAGAAUGUCACGGUGAAUACGUUCCCGGGCCU
rnacentral:rRNA from 1 species